rnacentral:rRNA from 1 species
UACGUAGGGUGCGAGCGUUAAUCGGAAUUACUGGGCGUAAAGCGUGCGCAGGCGGUUCGUUAAGUCUGAUGUGAAAGCCCCGGGCUCAACCUGGGAAUGGCAUUGGAAACUGGCGGGCUGGAGUAUGGCAGAGGGGGGUGGAAUUCCACGUGUAGCAGUGAAAUGCGUAGAGAUGUGGAGGAACACCGAUGGCGAAGGCAGCCCCCUGGGCCAAUACUGACGCUCAGGCACGAAAGCGUGGGGAGCAAAC